GGGGGGGGACCCCUCUUAUAAUGUCAAGUCGAGCGAAUCGAUGGGGAGCUUGCUCCCUGAGAUUAGCGGCGGACGGUUGAGUAACACGUGGGCAACCUGCCUAUAAGACUGGGAUAACUUCGGGAAACCGGAGCUAAUACCGGAUACGUUCUUUUCUCGCAUGAGAGAAGAUGGAAAGACGGUUUACGCUGUCACUUAUAGAUGGGCCCGCGGCGCAUUAGCUAGUUGGUGAGGUAAUGGCUCACCAAGGCGACGAUGCGUAGCCGACCUGAGAGGGUGAUCGGCCACACUGGGACUGAGACACGGCCCUGACUCCUACGGG
rnacentral:rRNA from 1 species